UAGCAUCGAAGGUAUCAAAGCAAUUAACCCAUACCGUUCCAACUCUCAAGGCUCGUGUCAAUGUGUUUGCAGUGUCAAUGUUCUGUGUAAAUACUCCAGCAGCUAGACCAUACCGACUGUUAUUAGCUCUCCGUAUCACAUCAUCAAGAUCCCUGUAAUGAGAAAAUUCAUGUAAUAAAUAAAUCUGUUUCAAAGCGCCAUGUUUACAUAUAUAUUAGGGCAUUCAGACAUACUUAAAUUUUAAGAUGGUUAUCACAUCAUCAAGAUCCCUGUAAUGAACAAAUUCAUGUAAUAAAUAAAUCUGUUUCAAAGCGCCAUGCUUACAUAUA
rnacentral:lncRNA from 1 species